UGUGUCACUCACAAUGUGAUUGCCAUGGCUGGAUGCAAAUAGAACACAGAAUUGAUCCUAAUUCUGUAUUCUGGAAUAAAAAACUGCAGUGGGAAGGGAGUUAAAAUGAUCAAUUGGUCCAACUGCAGGCUUUGAAGUGCAGGAAAGCAGGCCAGAGUUAAACCCCAGAGCAAGACAAUCAAAUUUGGGUGUCUGUGCCUCAUCAGUCUGAGCCCAGCAGUGAGAAACUGGCAAAAACUGGGGGAAAAAACAGGCAAAAAUUCAGGGGAAGAGAGAGAAAUGGUUCAAACAGCCCAGCUAGGGGAGAGUCUAACUACAGACAGCGUUUUUUUGAGCAUUUUUGCCCUUAUCCAGGGUGAAGGGUCCAGCCCCUUGCCUGUUCUGCUGUGCUGGGAACACCUGGACUGUCCUUUCCCAUGAUCAGUGACAUCCCUGCUCUGAGGGCAGUGACAGGAUCAUGUGAGGGGUCAAAGGCACCUUUGAACAUCAGUAAAACUCUGUGAGUUUGAACUUUCUACCAAAGCCAAGAUUAAAUCAGAGAAGCGAAUCAUCUCUCAGCUGCUCCCUCCUCAGGGUGCAGUCAUCCCUAACCAUCCCAAAUUACCAAAAAAAAGCCAGCUUUUAAGACUUCACGGCCCCGGGCUCAGAAGUGCGUGCCAAGAACUGCAUCACAUCGAUAGGAACAAAACCCUGGCAGAUUCGAGCCGGCCCUCGAAAUCCAUUAGUGCCCUCGGAAAUUGGGGGGCUGGAAGCGUGGCAGUGGAGAAGUAAAUUUUAGGGGUGCACAUUGAAGUGGGGAGCUCGUGAGGAUCUGGAAAUUCCAGUUGGUGCCAUGGAUCAGUUUUGGGGACCUGGAGACUCCCUGCUCCAGGUUUACUUGUGCUGACCCCAUCAUUCUCCAUCAUCCCCUAUCACAGGGCGCCUCGAAAACGACAAAAGAAGGAAGACAACGUGUGCUCGGACCGAUCGGCGCAAAUCCCCGCGGAGACCUUGGAAACCCGAAC